AGGACGAACGCUGGCGGCGUGCUUAACACAUGCAAGUCGAGCGAGCCCCCUUCUUCGGGAGGGUGUGCUAGCGGCGAACGGGUGAGUAACACGUGGGCAACCUGCCCUCAGCUCUGGGAUAACUCCAAGAAAUUGGGGCUAAUACCGGAUAUGACUGCUGACCGCAUGGUCUGGUGGUGGAAAGAUUUAUCGGCUGGGGAUGGGCCCGCGGCCUAUCAGCUUGUUGGUGGGUAGUGGCCUACCAAGGCGACGACGGGUAGCCGGCCUGAGAGGGUGACCGGCCACACUGGGACUGAGACACGGCCCAGACUCCUACGGGAGGCAGCAGUGGGAAUAUUGCGCAAUGGGCGAAAGCCUGACGCAGCGACGCCGCGGUGGGGAGGUGA
rnacentral:rRNA from 1 species